UGGUGAACCAGCGGAGGGAUCAUUAGCGAGUUAAUUACAAACUCCAAACCCAUGUGAACAUACCUACUGUUGCCUCGGCAGGCCGUGCUGCGCGGCUGGAUCGCCCACCCCCCGCGUGGGUAGCUACCCUGGAGUAGCUACCCUGUAGCGGGAGCGGCCCGCCCCGCGGCGCGCCAACAGGCCUGCCGAAGGACCCCUAAACUCUGUUUUGCACCUGUAUCUCUGAGUUUAUUAUACAAAUAAGUUAAAACUUUCAACAACGGAUCUCUUGGUUCUGGCAUCGAUGAAGAACGCAGCGAAAUGCGAUAAGUAAUGUGAAUUGCAGAAUUCAGUGAAUCAUCGAAUCUUUGAACGCACAUUGCGCCUAAUAGUAUUCUGUUAGGCAUGCCUGUUCGAGCGUCAUUUCAACCCCCAAGCCCUAUUUGCUUGACGUUGGGAGUUUACGGAGACGUAAUUCCUCAAAUAUAGUGGCGGAGCUAGGUCGUGCUCUAAGCGUAGUAACCAAAUUCUCGCUUCUGAAGCCGGCCCGGGUCCUGCCGUAAAACCCCCUAUAUUUU
rnacentral:rRNA from 1 species